rnacentral:rRNA from 1 species
AGAGUUUGAUCAUGGCUCAGAACGUACGCUGGCGGCACGCCUAACACAUGCAAGUCGAACGAAGUAGCAAUACUUAGUGGCAGACGGGUGAGUAACAUGUAGGUAUCUGCCCUUUGGCCUGGAAUAACACGAGGAAACUUGUGCUAAUACCGGAUAAGUCUUUACGGAGAAAGCUUUAUGCACCAUUGGAUGAGCCUGCACUUGAUUAGUUUGUUGGUGGGGUAAUGGCCUACCAAGACUGUGAUCAAUAGCUGAUUUGAGAGGAUGAUCAGCCACAUUGGGACUGAGACACGGCCCAAACUCCUACGGGAGGCAGCAGUGGGGAAUCUUGCACAAUGGAGGAAACUCUGAUGCAGCGAUGCCGCGUGAGUGAAGAAGGCCUUUGGGUUGUAAAGCUCUUUCGUCGGGGAAGAAAAUGACUGUACCCGAAUAAGAAGGUCCGGCUAACUUCGUGCCAGCAGCCGCGGUAAUACGAAGGGACCUAGCGUAGUUCGGAAUUACUGGGCUUAAAGAGUUCGUAGGUGGUUGAAAAAGUUGGUGGUGAAAUCCCAGAGCUUAACUCUGGAACUGCCAUCAAAACUUUUCAGCUAGAGUAUGAUAGAGGAAAGCAGAAUUUCUAGUGUAGAGGUGAAAUUCGUAGAUAUUAGAAAGAAUACCAAUUGCGAAGGCAGCUUUCUGGAUCAUUACUGACACUGAGGAACGAAAGCAUGGGUAGCGAAGAGGAUUAGAUACCCUCGUAGUCCAUGCCGUAAACGAUGUGUGUUAGACGUUGGAAAUUUAUUUUCAGUGUCGCAGCGAAAGCGAUAAACACACCGCCUGGGGAGUACGACCGCAAGGUUAAAACUCAAAUGAAUUGACGGGGACCCGCACAAGUAGUGGAGCAUGUGGUUUAAUUCGAAGAUACGCGCAGAACCUUACCAACACUUGACAUGUUCGUCGCGACUCUAAGAGAUUAGAGUUUUCGGUUCGGCCGGACGAAACACAGGUGCUGCAUGGCUGUCGUCAGCUCGUGUCGUGAGAUGUUGGGUUAAGUCCCGCAACGAGCGCAACCCUCACUUUUAGUUGCCAUCAUUAAGUUGGGCACUCUGAAAGAACUGCCAGUGAUAAGCUGGAGGAAGGUGGGGAUGACGUCAAGUCCUCAUGGCCCUUACGUGUUGGGCUACACACGUGCUACAAUGGUAUCUACAACAGGAAGCAAAACUGCGAGGUUAAGCAAAUCCUUAAAAGAUACCUCAGUUCGGAUUGCACUCUGCAACUCGAGUGCAUGAAGCUGGAAUUACUAGUAAUCGUGGAUCAGCGUGCCACGGUGAAUGCGUUCCCGGGUCUUGUACACACCGCCCGUCACACCAUGGGAGUUGGUUCUACCUUAAGGCAAGGUUUAAAACCCUUGACCACGGUAUAGUCAGCGACUGGGGUGAAGUCGUAACAAGGUA